rnacentral:rRNA from 1 species
GAUCAUUACAAGUUGACCCCGGCCCUCGGGCCGGGAUGUUCACAACCCUUUGUUGUCCGACUCUGUUGCCUCCGGGGCGACCCUGCCUCCGGGCGGGGGCCCCGGGUGGACAUUUCAAACUCUUGCGUAACUUUGCAGUCUGAGUAAAUUUAAUUAAUAAAUUAAAACUUUCAACAACGGAUCUCUUGGUUCUGGCAUCGAUGAAGAACGCAGCGAAAUGCGAUAAGUAAUGUGAAUUGCAGAAUUCAGUGAAUCAUCGAAUCUUUGAACGCACAUUGCGCCCCCUGGUAUUCCGGGGGGCAUGCCUGUUCGAGCGUCAUUUCACCACUCAAGCCUCGCUUGGUAUUGGGCGACGCGGUCCGCCGCGCGCCUCAAAUCGACCGGCUGGGUCUUUCGUCCCCUCAGCGUUGUGGAAACUAUUCGCUAAAGGGUGCCGCGGGAGGCCACGCCGUAAAACAACCCCAUUUCUAAGGUUGACCUCGGAUCAGGUAGGGAUACCCGCUGAACUUAAGCAUAUCAAUAAGCGGAGGAAAGGGCGAAUU